UUUUUCUCUUACCCCUCUCUCCUCGGCUGCUCUCACCACUUCCUCCCUCCCUCUCCGGCUUCCUUCUACCUCCCCUCACUCUCCCCCCUUUCUCGCCUUGCUCAGGGGGACUCGCUAUCUCUUUCUCUGUCUCUCCUUGGAACAGCGGCCCCCAAAAUGCAACUGAAGCCAUUUCCCUGCUCUGAGACCUCGGACAAGUCACUCCCCGCCAGGGCUGCAGUUUCCUGUCUCUAAAAGGAGUUGAUGAGCAGCUCUAGGUGGGGUGGCGAUGGGGGACGCAGGAGGUGCCCCGUGCCUGUGGUCCCCUGUUGAAGUUCACGCCUCCUCAAAUGCAGCGGCCACCCAGCGCUCGCUGGGUGCCAUGUGUGCCCCACAAAACACCUUUCCUCAGCCUCGAGGACAAGUACCAGAGGCCAGUUCCGCGGGAAAAGUUAAUGGUGGUUUCCUCCAGGGUCCCUAAAGCCCCUCCUGAAAAGUGACUGUGGUUCCCCUCCCCCUGUCCUCAGGUUUUGAGUGGGCACAACCUAAGCUGGAUCUGAUAGGCCCUGUCACCUGCUGGUUCCUCCCUGGUUGACACCAAGCAGAGGGGCAAUGCUCUCUCGCUGUCCUUAGACCCAAGCAGGAGAAAAAUCUACCCUCCCUCCUUCCCUCCCCAUUCCCCAUCACACCAUGAUUGGCUUUUAAGCUUCAGGGAUGUUUCCCGGACCGAGUGUGGCUUCAGAGUCAGAGAGAUGUGAGUUCAAGACCACUUGCUUAGGAGGAAGCAAAAGAGGAGGAGAAGGCAGAGGAAGGCGACGACUGAGAACAAAAGAAGAGCAGUGGCAAAGGAGUGGCUUUUGUGGACAAGAUGCGACCACCUCAUGAGGAUCAAGAUGUACUCCUUGCUCUUCUCUGCACAGCAGUCUCAAAACUAGGCUACACCGUCUGUCUCCUCUGGUCACCAUUUUGAGAGGCAGCAAGGGUCUUCCUAACCCUCAGCUCCCUCUGAUUUUUGGAAUUCAGAUUUGGAUUUUGGAUGUACAUCAAGAGGCUGGCUCCACGCAUUUUAAUUAAGUUGUCUUUUUUCAUUUAUUACUAAUACACUCCUCUUAACUAUGAUUUAUUGGUUAAACAAAGCACCAUAAGCCGUCACUUAUUCAUCUUAAUUUCAACAAAAUUAAAGUAGUCGCUGUUAGAUUGCACCUAAUUGCACUUGCAAUGAAAAGAACGGAGAUGUUAAUCAAAAUAAAUUGAAGAUAAACAAUAAAAUCAUUACAUCUUUGCGGU
rnacentral:lncRNA from 1 species